GGGCACUCUAAGUUGACUGCCGGUGACAAACCGGAGGAAGGUGGGGAUGACGUCAAAUCAUCAUGCCCCUUAUGAUUUGGGCUACACACGUGCUACAAUGGACAAUACAAAGGGCAGCGAAACCGCGAGGUCAAGCAAAUCCCAUAAAGUUGUUCUCAGUUCGGAUUGUAGUCUGCAACUCGACUACAUGAAGCUGGAAUCGCUAGUAAUCGUAGAUCAGCAUGCUACGGUGAAUACGUUCCCGGGUCUUGUACACACCGCCCGUCACACCACGAGAGUUUGUAACACCCGAAGCCGGUGGAGUAACCAUUUUGGAGCUAGCCGUCGAAGGUGGGACAAAUGAU
rnacentral:rRNA from 1 species